rnacentral:rRNA from 1 species
AUUGAACGCUGGCGGCAGGCCUAACACAUGCAAGUCGAACGAGUGGCGGACGGGUGAGUAAUGUCUGGGAAACUGCCCGAAGGAGGGGGAUAACUACUGGAAACGGUAGCUAAUACCGCAUACCAUCGGAUGUGCCCAGAUGGGAGUCGAUAGUAGGUGGGGUAACGGCUCACCUAGGCGACGAUCCCUAGCUGGUAUGAGAGGAGGACCAGCCACACUGGAACUGAGACACGGUCCAGACUCCUACGGGAGGCAGCAGUGGGGAAUAUUGCACAAUGGGCGCAAGCCUGAUGCAGCAAGGCCGCGUGUAUGAAGAAGGCCUUCGGGUUGUAAAGUACUUUCAGCGAGGAGGCGUUACUCGCAGAAGAAGCACCGGCUAACUCCGUGCCAGCAGCCGCGGUAAUUC